rnacentral:rRNA from 1 species
CUACGGGCGGCUGCAGUGGGGAAUUUUGGACAAUGGGCGAAAGCCUGAUCCAGCCAUUCCGCGUGAGUGAUGAAGGCCUUCGGGUUGUAAAGCUCUUUCGGCCGGGAAGAAAUCGUGCAGGCUAAUAUCCUGCAUGGAUGACGGUACCGGACCAAGAAGCACCGGCUAACUACGUGCCAGGCAGCCGCGGUAAUACGUAGGGUGCGGGCGUUAAUCGGAAUUACUGGGCGUAAAGCGUGCGCAGGCGGAUGUUUAAGCCAGAUGUGAAAUCCCCGGGCUUAACCUGGGAAUGGCAUUUGGAACUGGACAUCUAGAGUGUGUCAGAGGGGGGUGGAAUUCCACGUGUAGCAGUGAAAUGCGUAGAGAUGUGGAGGAACACCGAUGGCGAAGGCAGCCCCCUGGGAUAACACUGACGCUCAUGCACGAAAGCGUGGGGAGCAAACAGGAUUAGAUACCCGUGUAGUC